CAACCCAACAGCAGUAGAUAGCAAAAGGAAAGAAAGAAAGGGGAGAAAGGAGAUAGCUCGGGAACAAAGAAGAGAAUAGACUGCACCGCGUCUUGCUGCUUCAUCGCCGCUGCAUCCUGCUGUCGCCGCCAUCCCUGUCGCACGCGAGAGAGCCGUCGAGCUCGAGGGUGAAAGACGUGCGUGAGAGAGAGAGGAGUCGCGCUGUUGCCGCCGUCCAACCCGCCUCUCCAUUGUCGUCGUCGCCUCAAGCUCAUCGCCCUUUGUCACUGUCGCAAGCUUUGUCGCGCUUUGCCAUUGUCAUAAGCUCGUCUUCCUGCUUUGGCCAUCAACGCCUCCUUAGCUGUGAGUUGGUCUCUGCGUAGGUGAAACAUUACAAGAUGAGUGAACAAAUGGAGGUGUAUUUGUUGGUGUUGAUGGUGCUCAGAUCCCUCACAAGCUAAUACACAGUCGGUUUGGAUUACGUCAGUUCUUAGAUUCAUUUGGUGGAACAUAACAUUUCAAUAUUAAUAAGAAAUAGCAACUACUUUGCCACAAAUAAUUGCACAAGAGAAAGAAUACAUAAGGCCACAACUAGAUGUAAAGCUCAGCCAUUUAGCUUCUGGUACUGAUUCAAGCACUUCUAUUCAGACAACAGAAACAAAGCUUGCUGACCUUCUGGAUAGCACACUUUGGAAUCACAGGCUCGCUCCUUCAUCUGAAAGGAUUGUUUAUGGUUUGGUACAACAAAUAUUUCAUGGCAUUAGAGAAUAUUUCUUAGUUUCCACAAAAUUAAAGGUUUGACAUGUUAAAAUUUGAAUACUAUAGUUUUCAAAGGAUGAGAAGAAUAUGUACUAUAUUAGAGAAUAUUUCUUAGUUUUCAUAGUAUUUGAUGUCUUUUGUAAUUUUUUUAAGAGCCUUUACCUGGUAGUAUAUGUAAUGGAUAAAUUAUACGAUAUUUUAAUUUGUGUUGUUUGGACUAAAAAUAUAUCUAGCUUAUAAUCUAAAUUUUUAUGAUUUAUGUUUCUUGAAUUUCUCCUUUUAGACUGAUAUUAUGAUUAUCAUAAUUUUAGGAACUGAUUAUUCUUUAAAAAAAUCUCAAAAAACAAAGUAAACUAUGGUCACAGUUUUAAAAUAGGGUGACCAUAGAUAAGGUUAUGGUCACGGUUUCCAUAGAUAAGGCUAUGGUCACAGUUUUAAAAAAGGGUGACUAUAGAGUAAACUAUGGUCAUGGUUUUUGAGUAGGGUGACCAUAGAUAAACUAUGGUCAUGGUUUUACAAAAGGUGACCAUAGAGUAAGUUAUGGUCACGGUUUUUUAGUAGGGUGACCAUAGAAUAAGCUAUGGUCACGGUUUUAAAGUAGGGUGACCAUCGAUACCUAUGGUCACGCUAAAACCGUCACUAUAGAUUAAGCUAUGGUCACAGUAUAAA